rnacentral:lncRNA from 1 species
UGUCCACUCCAUGUAAAUGCCUUUAGCAUUUCAGUUCUUGUAUAUUUUGGUUAAGGUGACACUUGAGCAUGCCGCUAAUGUCUUUGUUAGUGACAGUGCAUUUUGUAGUACUGUACAAGUGUUGUGCUAACAGUAAGCCAUUUCUUAAGUUUUUUGCCUUGAGUAGGGUGCCCUAAUUUGAGGGUUUAAAAAAAAAAACUAUAUUUUUGUUAAUUAUAAAACUGUAAAGAGCUAUAAAAGCUAUUCCCAUUUGGUUAGUCAAAAGGGUUUUAUUGCUCAAUGUUUGGUGUAAAGUUGAGACCCUUUUCCAUUUUGGUGACAGAUUUCUUUGGGGAAAAAAGGCAGCUUUCUGUUUUAUAAAUGCAGACUUCUGUUUAUUGAAUGAAGCAUAUCUCAGUGUUUAUCUGUCAGGUUUUGAAACAUUUCAUAUAUGUCCAAAUACUUGGCAGGAUUUAAAAAAAAUAGUGAAUUUGGUGUAAAGUUGCUAUUUUAUGGAAAUGCCUCUAACUUUACAUUUUCAUUCCAUCUGUAGAUUUUUCUAUCUUUAUAAAAUAUUGGAGUUAUUUUUUAAGGAAAAAUAGAGAAGUAGCUUGUGAAUAGCUCAAACUAAGCUUACAGAACCGCAUGUAAAAAAGCAAAAAAAAGUUAUUUGUGUCUGUUUAUAUUGCUUCCUUUUUUGUAGCCUUUGUACCUGUACAGGGUGACUGUAAGGGCCAAGCAGGAGAGGCGUAAUCCUUGUAUAAAAUAGGAGCCAGCGACACUCUUGUAUUUAUCUGUUCUCUUUUUAGUCAGUCACUUCAAAAAAAAAAAGAAAAAAAAGAAAAAAAAACAAACAAAAAAAAGCUGUACAUUUUAACAUAAAAUAAAUUAUGAUGAGCCAUUUUUAGCCUCUUGUGUCCUGUCAUAUUAUGAUUGAUAGAGAAUGACCAAUGGAACUGUAUCAUGUGUCACAUCUCAGAACACAUACACAUUUUGGGAAAAUAAAUUAUUUAGUGUAAAUUGGAGUUAUGAGAUUUUUCUGAUUUGUUUUGACUUUGGGGGAGGGGGUUGGCAAUAAAUAAGAGUAAUAUCUAAUAAAAACCAUCACAUAUACCAAAUACCUAUUUAAUAAAUUAAUUUAUAAUGGAUUUUAAUGCUUUUCAUGAAAGUUUAUUUUAUGCUGGUGCAUACCUUCUGUAUGCCAAUCAUUGUCUUUAAAAUAAAGUGAAUUUGUUUU